GUGCUCUCUUCGGCCACCUGUGUGCUAAAGCUAUACCCAUACAGAGAAGAUGAGCUCAGCCCCAUGCAAGGACGACACGCCAAUUCAUGAAACACUUCCUAUUUUU
ensembl:snRNA U6 U6 spliceosomal RNA